rnacentral:lncRNA from 10 species
AUUCUAGCCACAGCUUCUCUAAGGGCGAGCUGCUUUCUGCACUCUGGUUAUUGGAUAUUUGCAUUUCAGCCAAACUUGCUAUUGAUAGAAGAGAACACUAGCGUCAUCCUCACUCAAGGGACAGUCCCCGCUCCUUCGUUCUGCACGGGGUCACAGGAGUGUGCAGGGAAUUUCAGACUCAGUGUCCAUAGGAGCCAACUGCUGGCCUCAGAGCAGCAGGGGAACCGAGACCAGGCCAGGCACGACUGCACCAGGAGGAGAGGCAUAUGUCCUCGAGCGGGCCGGAAUUGGGGAUGAGGCGUGGCCAAGCCUUGCUCACACACCCCCAUCCCCUUGUGAAAAUGCUUCCUCCUUUCAGAUCUUCAUUUUCACCAGCAGGAAACUCUCACCAGGUUUUGUUUCUGACCUAAGUAAACUGUCAACUUCAUGAACCCUUUAUCCAGGUGACGCCACCAAACAAUUCUGUCUCUAGCUCUAGCCUGAUCUUCACACAUUUUCUUUUCUUUCUUUCUUUUUUUUUUUUUUUUUUUGAGACGGAGUCUUGCUCUGUAGCCCAGGCUGGAGUGCAGUGGUGCGAUCUCGACUCACUGCAAGCUCCGCCUCCCGAGUUCACGCCAUUCUCUUACCUCGGCCUCCGGAGUAGCUGGGAUUAAAGGCGCCCGCCACCACGCCCGGCUAAUAUUUUGUAUUUUCAGUGGAGACGGGGUUUCACCGUGUUAGCCAGGAUGGUCUCGAUCUUCUGACCUCUUGAUCCGCCCGCCUCGGCCCCGCAAAGUGCUGGGAUUACAGGCGUGAGCCACCGCGCCCGGCCACACAUUUUCUUUAUCUAU